UACGGAGGGCGCGAGCGUUGUCCGGAAUCACUGGGCGUAAAGGGCGCGUAGGCGGCUCGAUAAGGCUUGCGUGAAAGUCCGGGGCUCAACCCCGGAUCGGCGCGGGCGACUGUUGGGCUGGAGCACGGUAGGGGCAGACGGAAUUCCGGGUGUAGCGGUGGAAUGCGCAGAUAUCAGGAGGAACACCAAUAGCGAAGGCAGCUCGCUGGGACGGUACUGACGCGUAAGGCGCGAAAGCGUGGGGAGCGAACAGG
rnacentral:rRNA from 1 species